ACAAACUUGGUCAUUUAGAGGAAGUAAAAGUCGUAACAAGGUCUCCGUUGGUGAACCAGCGGAGGGAUCAUUACCAGGGUCCUACGACUCCCUAACCAAACCGUGCUCUUUAUACGUAUACUCUGCUGAGGCUAGGUCGCUCGCUGGGGGGGCCCUAGGCCGGAUCAAACCCGGUGGCCUGCCAAAGCAACUAAAUAACACAUUUUCUACGUUGGUAACGUCAUCUGAGCAAAAGCUUUAAAAAUAAAAUCACAACUCAUAACAAUGGAUCUCUUGGCUCUGGCAUCGAUGAAGAACGCAGC
rnacentral:misc_RNA from 1 species